UACGUAGGGUGCAAGCGUUGUCCGGAAUUAUUGGGCGUAAAGAGCUCGUAGGCGGUCUGUCGCGUCUGCUGUGAAAAACCCACGGCUCAACCGUGUGGUCUGCAGUCGAUACGGGCAGGCUAGAGUUCGGUAGGGGAGACUGGAAUUCCUGGUGUAGCGGUGAAAUGCGCAGAUAUCAGGAGGAACACCGGUGGCGAAGGCGGGUCUCUGGGCCGAUACUGACGCUGAGGAGCGAAAGCGUGGGGAGCGAACAGG
rnacentral:rRNA from 1 species